rnacentral:rRNA from 1 species
ACGCUCGACACCUACGGGAGCAGCAGUCGGGAAUAUUGCGCAAUGGAGGAAACUCUGACGCAGUGACGCCGCGUGCAGGAAGAAGGUUUUCGGAUUGUAAACUGCUUUAGACAGGGAAGAAAAAAGACAGUACCUGUAGAAUAAGCUCCGGCUAACUACGUGCUAGCAGCCGCGGUAAUCUGAGCGGGCUGGCAAGGC